AGAGUUUGAUCCUGGCUCAGAACGAACACUGGCGGCGUGGAUUAGGCAUGCAAGUCGAACGAGAAAGUUUCCUUCGGGAAACGAGUACAGUGGCGAACGGGUGAGUAACGCGUGGGAAAUCUGCCCUUUUAUGGGGGAUAACAGUUCUAACGAGCUGCUAAUACCGCAUAAGCCCUUUGGGUCGCAUGACCUGGAGGGGAAAGAUGGCCUCUACAUGUAAGCUGUCGUAGAAGGAUGAUCCCGCGUCCCAUUAGCUAGUUGGUGGGGUAAAAGCCUACCAAGGCGACGAUGGGUAGCCGGCCUGAGAGGGUGUCCGGCCACACUGGGACUGAGAUACGGCCCAGACUCCUACGGGAGGCAGCAGUCGAGAAGCUUCCGCAAUGGGGGAAACCCUGACGGAGCGACGCCGCGUGAGUGAAGAAGGCCCUAUGGGUUGUAAAGCUCUGUCAGAUUGGGAAGAAAACUCUACGGGUAAUAUCCGUAGAGCUUGACGGUACCAUCAGAGGAAGCACCGGCUAACUCCGUGCCAGCAGCCGCGGUAAUACGGAGGGUGCAAGCGUUGUUCGGAUUCACCGGGUAUAAAGGGUGCGCAGGCGGCCCGAUAAGUCAGAGGUGAAAUAUGACGGCUCAACCGUCAAACGGCCCCUGAAACUGUAAGGCUUGAGUUCGAGAGAGGUAGGUGGAAUUCCAGGUGUAGCGGUGAAAUGCGUAAAUAUCUGGAGGAACACCGGUGGCGAAGGCGGCCUACUGGCUCGAUACUGACGCUCAGGCACGAAAGCAUGGGGAGCGAACGGGAUCAGAUACCCCGGUAGUCCAUGCCGUAAACGAUGGGUACUAGGUGUUGGGGGAGUCUACCCCUGCCGUGCCGAAGCUAACGCAUUAAGUGCUCCGCCUGGGGAGUACGGUCGCAAGGCUGAAACUCAAAGGAAUGACGGGGGCCCGCACAAGCGGUGGAGCAUGUGGUUCAAUUCGACGCAACGCGAAGAACCUUACCUGGGUUUGAACUGUUAGGGACCGGUGCAGAGAUGUACCUUUCCUUCGGGACCCUAGUAGAGGUGCUGCAUGGCUGUCGUCAGCUCGUGUCGUGAGAUGUUGGGUUAAGUCCCGCAACGAGCGCAACCCUUGCCCUCUGUUGCCACCGGGUAAUGCCGAGCACUCUGAGGGGACUGCCGGUGAUAAACCGGAGGAAGGUGGGGAUGACGUCAAGUCCUCAUGGCCUUUAUGCCCAGGGCUACACACGUGCUACAAUGGUCGGUACAAAGGGUUGCAAAGCCGCGAGGUGGAGCUAAUCCCAAAAAGCCGGCCCCAGUUCGGAUUGGAGUCUGCAACUCGACUCCAUGAAGUUGGAAUCGCUAGUAAUCGCGGAUCAGCAGGCCGCGGUGAAUACGUUCCCGGGCCUUGUACACACCGCCCGUCACAUCACGAAAGUUGGCUGUACUAGAAGUCGCUAGGCUAACCCUUCGGGGAGGCAGGUGCCGACGGUAUGGCUGAUGAUUGGGGUGAAGUCGUAACAAGGUA
rnacentral:rRNA from 1 species